ACACCGACUCCAGGAUUGUCUCCCAAAUCCCACUUCCGCCACUUCUUCCUCCCGAGACCGGCCAAGCGCGCCUGGUUGUCCGCCCUUCUUGGGCUCCUAGGGAGAACGUGGUCCGGGAACUGGCGGUCACUGGGAGGCAGCAUAAGAGGUUUUCGCGCUCCUCUGCUGGUGCAACUAUCGCGACCAUCACCCUGACAGCGGGAGGAAGGGUGCCGCAGGCAAAGGGUGGCGCACCUGCAGAUUCGGUUUCUUGCUCGGGGCUCUCGCGAGAGCCGGCGCUGGAGUGUGGACCGCGCAUGCCGGUGACGCGUGGUGGAGACACGUCGCCGGCGCCUCUCUCCCUAGGCCUUCCAGGGGGCUGGAGUGCAGCGGCGCUAUCUCGUCUCACUGCAACCUCCACCUCCCAGGUACAAGCGAUUCUCCUGCCUCAGCCUUCGGAGUAGCUGGGAUUACAGGCGCCCACCACCACGCCCAGCCCAGAGCCGGGUUCAAGCAUUUCUCAGAAAUUUCCAGCGCACGUUCCCCAUCUGAAGGCUCACACCUGCGGGAGCAGAACACACUCCACACGGGUGCCUCCAGCACACGGAACUUGCGCUCCCGGAAGCUUACGACAUGGUCAUUGUUGAAGUGUUCCCCUCGAAGUAGCUGGGCGUGGUGGCGCGCUCGUGGAGUCCCAGCUACUCGAGAGGCUGAGGUAGGAGCAUCGCUUGAACCCAGGAGGAGGGAGUUGCAGUGAGACGAGAUCGCGCCACUGCACUCCAGCCUGGAUAACAAAGCGAGACUCCGUCUCAAAAAAAAAAAAAAAAAAAAAAAUCCUUAAGGACAGCCCAGAGGCUGGCGACACCUUCACGGGCCCCUCCAUGGAUGCGCCUCUGAGGUCACCGCUCCGGAAGGUCCCAGACUGGCGUGGAAACCUAUUACUAAGUGGGGCGCGUGGACACCGGCAGGUCCCGCUCUAAAGGAGUCCCGCGGAUGCUUGGGCCUCAGUUCCUCUUUCCUGCCCAAGUAUUCCCCCCGCUCUGACGAAACAGGCAACUUCCAGACUGUGGCGUUAGCUCAGCGACUGCGCUGAGCCCCGGGAAAGAACCUGGUCCCGACGGCCAGCUGACCCAGGUUAGUUGCGGAGAUGCUGACUACCCCGCUUCGCUGGCUGCUGCGAGGUCACAUGAGGCCCUCGGUGUGACGUGAGGUCCUCGGGCGCAGCAGGGAGCGUGGCAGCCAACUCUUUCUGCGCGUGCGCGAGCGCGAGCAUCUGCUGUCGUUUAGGCAGAACGGUCGCAAAUCGCACCCUCAGUACUGGCCCGCUUUGCUCUUCUACCUUGCCCUCCUAGUCCGGAUCCAAGAUCCCAAGUAAUCGUCCUACCCCUGCACCGGGGCCGGGACCAGGCAGCCAAGAGCGGCGGAGACAGACUGCUGGGACCGCGACAUCUCCUCUCCUGUUCGCUGCCAUAUGCCCGCGUCGUGUUGAGCGGCCUGCGGACACUGACAGCCUGCCCGGUCCGCUGAGUGUUUGAUCCCCAUCCUCUCAACGCUCUGGAGUGGGCGGUGCAGCCAGUCUUCUUUCAUUCUUAUGAGGCAAGAGAGAGACCCUCUCAUAUUGUUUUAUACUCAGUACCUGUUUAAAAAACAAAACAAAACAAAACAAGGAAGUGAAACCAAAGACAGGCAGCCCGGCGCCAGGCCCCAAACCGGACCUGGACCUGCCUGGCCUAAACCUAGUAGUUAAAAAUCAACUCAUGACUUAAAAACCGAUGUUGUCCUUAGAUUCCCCGCGUCGUAUAAAAGAACAUUGUGGGCCAGGGGCGGUGGCUCACGCCUGUAAUCCCAGCACUUUGGGAGGCCAAGGCGAGCGGAUCACCUGAGGUCAGGAGUUCAAAACCAGCCUGACCAACAUGGAGAAACCCUGUCUUUACUAAAAAUACAAAAUUGGCCAGGCGUGGUGGCACAUGCCUAUAAUCCCAGCUACUAGGGAGGCUGAGGCAAGAGAAUCGCUUGAACCUGGGAGGCAGAGGUUUUGGUGAGCCGAGAUCAUGCCAUUGCACUUCACCCUGGGCAACAAGAGUGAAACUCCGUCUCAAAAAAAAAAAAAAAAAAAAAA
rnacentral:lncRNA from 1 species